UUUUAUUGUUGGUUGUUCAAAACAUUACAUAGUUCUUGAUAUAUCAUAUUUCACACUUUGAUUCAAGUGGGUUAUGAACUCCCAUUUUUACCCCAUAUACAGAUUGCAGAAUCACAUCAGUUACACAUCCAUUGAUUUACAUAUUGCCAUACUAGUGUCUGUUGUAUUCUGCUGCCUUUCCUAUCCUCUACUAUCCCCCCUCCCCUCCCCUCCCCUCCCCUCUUCUCUCUCUACCCCCUCUACUGUCAUUCAUUUCUCCCCCUUGUAUUAUUUUCCCCUUUCCCCUCACUUCCUCUUGUAUGAAAUUUUGUAUAACCCUGAGGGUCUCCUUCCAUUUCCAUGCAAUUUCCCUUCUCUCUCCCUUUCCCUCCCACCUCUCAUCCCUGUUUAAUGUUAAUCUUCUUCUCAUGCUCUUCGUCCCUACUCUGUUUUAAGUUACUCUCCUUAUAUCAAAGAAGACAUUCGGCAUUUGUUUUUUAGGGAUUGGCUAGCUUCACUUAGCAUAAUCUGCUCUAAUGCCAUCCAUUUCCCUGCAAAUUCUAUGAUUUUGUCAUUUUUUAAUGCAGAGUAAUACUCCAUUGUGUAUAAAUGCCACAUUUUUUUUAAUCCAUUCGUCUAUUGAAGGGCAUCUAGGUUGGUUCCACAGUCUUGCUAUUGUGAAUUGUGCUGCUAUGAACAUCGAUGUAGCAGUGUCCCUGUAGCAUGCUCUUUUUAGGUCUUUAGGGAAUAGACCUAGAAGGGGAAUAGCUUUUUUUUCUUUCUUUUUUUCUUUUCUUUUUUGGUGCUGGGGAUUAAGCUCAGGACUUCACUCUGCAGAACAAGCUCUGCCCACUGGGUUCCCUCCCUGGAGUUUUCAAUAUUCAACUUGCCUACUGAGCCUCCAGAAAUCCAUCAAUCACAGCCUGCCUUUGCCAAGACUAGUUACACAUUUUCAUAGCAGCUUUGUUUAUAGACAAGAACUGGAAACAGUGCAGAUGUCUAUCAGCAGGUGAGUGGAUGCAGACUCCCCAGGCCCACCUUAGGAGACAGAGUGGGGGAAGGGCCAUACAGUUGAUCUCUCAAAAAUAGGAAAGGCUGAGCUAUUGGCACUUAACAUCGAUGAUGCUCAAAAUAAUUAUGUUGAAAGAAGCCAGAUUAAAAAAAAUACAGCAUGCUGUAUGAUUCCAUUCAUUGAAACUUCUAGAAAGUAUAUAGUAACAAAAAGAAGAUCAGAGGAUGCUCAGAGACAUGAGGGGAUGGUGGAGGUGUGAAGGGAUUGCAGAGAGGCAGGAGGAAACUUUUGGGGUGAUAGACACGUUGUUUAUAUUGACUGUGGUGCCCUCACAGCUGAUGCAUAGUAUUGGAACUCAGCAGAGUGUGCUUGAAAUGUGCAGGUUGCUGCCCUUCAUUGAAACUGUUUUUUGAAAUUAGCUACAACCACCAGGGAGCAGAGAAGCCCCCAAGUGGUCUCUUCCUUUACUGAAGACUAUGAUGAAGAAAUCUCUUUCCUGUCCCUGAAAUGUUUUGAGCUUAGCAGUGCUUACCUGCUGCGUGGCUAAAUCAAUUCUGCUUCAAAUGCUGUGCGGGAUCUUCAGGGGUGUAAGUACCACGUAGGCAACAUGAUGCCAACGCGAGUUCUCUCUGUCCCCAGAUGCAGCUUCUCUUCCCUCAUGCAUCAAUCCUUUGGGGAUAGAGGGGAGAAGCCCUGCCUGGGGUUCCAAGGCCUUUGGAAAGAAGGUCGAGGGGUCCCAGGGAGCAAAGCGGGUUGGGUACGUGCUAAGGGAUAAGUAGGAGGUGCGCACCAGGAGGAGGGUGCUCCACGCGGGCCUCCACUGUGCACCCACAGUGUCCCACGAGACUGGUUCAGAGCCAGGGCUGCAGGCCAGGGACAUCUGGGGCACAUUGCAGGUGCCGGGGACUCUGCUGAGCCCAGGGAAGGGGAUACUGGGGCUGAGUAACAUGCAUCAGGGGAAUCGGUCACUCCCACCUGACAGACCCCUUUCCAGGGCAAUCUUGGGGCCCUGGUACAGGGACAUCCAGUGAGGAUGCUCGAGGAAAUCUUUCUGCCCAGGAAGGUGGUGGGGCUGGUGCUGGCUGGGGUCCUAGGGCGAGCUGGCUGCGGCUUUUUACCUGAAGCCCCCCUGUCCCGGCCCUUGAUGAUCCUCCUGGAGUCGGGCCCCAAGUGACUUCUCCCUUGGCAGUCUUUGGGAGGCACCGAGGAACUGUCUGGGGCCCUGGCCCUGAGGGCGACAGGGCUUUCAGUGUUUGCUGACUUGAGUCGUGGGGAGUUUAUAAGGAGGACUCCAGCCCUCCACCUCUACCCACAGACGUCCAAUGGAUGGCUAAAGGCAGAAUUAGAAGGGUAGCAUCUCUGCCUCAAUAUAUUGCCCAUCCAUCCCCUUUGCCUGAGUCACCUUGGAUUUGUUACUGGGAGCCCAGCCCAGGGACCCUGCCUGGACCCUGCUGGCUGCAUCAGUGUCCACCAGCAAAAGGAACAGGUUAAAAAAAAAGAAAGAAACAAAGAAAAAGAAAGGAAGGAAGGAAGGAAGGAAAAGAAAAGGAAAAAAAUGAACUUUUUCUGUUUGAUCCAACUGGGGAGAAGCAGCUAGAAGGCUUGGAAGAAGCCCCUGUCCCACAGAAGUGGUUACAGUUUAUAGAAACAAAACCCAAGUGAUCUACAUACGUGAAUUUCCUUGGCCUGAAGAAGAAGCAAAAACGGGACAAAACACAGAAAAUGCCUAGGCAGAUGGCCUGCUGCCCAGGCCUGAGGAAGGGCGGGACCCAUCUGAGCUUUCCUGGCUCCUGAGGUGGGCGUGGGGGUUGCAGCAGAAGGAAGUUGCUCUUAAUUCAGAAUUGAGACCCCCCGCCCCCAUGCAGUGUGUUUCAUGUCCCAGGAGCAAGGUCUGAUCUGAUGCGCAUCUUGUGAGAGCCAAAGCAGGUGACACAGCUCUCCUGACAAGGCCCCACCUGGCCAAUCCUGAGAUGAUGGACAGACCUCACCUGGUCAGGACCACCUGCUUUAGCAGCUGUGCAAAGCCCAAGCCCUUGCCCUCAUUCCCCUUUCUAUAAAAGCUCCAAGUCAUUGUCACUCCCUGAAGACAGGCUAAGAUGUGGGUCCCCCUGCCUUCCCCGUGUGGCUACACUGAUAAAAGUUCCUUUCCUGCUGGGCAUGGUGGUGCAUGCCUGUAAUCCCAGAGAUUCUCAGGAGGCUGAGGCAGGAAGAUCACAUUUGAGGUCAACCUUGGUGAUUUAGUGAGACCCUCAGCCACCUAGCAAGACCCUCUCUCAAAACAAGAAAUAAAAAGGAUUGGGGAGUGCUCAGUGGUAAGGCACCCGGGUUCAAUUCCUAGUCCUUUACCUGGAGCUGAAGCUCCCUGCCUCCUUUUCUUUCCGGGUUAAAGCUUCCCCUGUGCAUUCAGUCUCAUUGGACUUGGAGUUACCGUUGACUCAACUCAGAAGUUCCCAUCUCUGGUAUCUCCACCUCCUCUUGGUACUGGGGAUUGGACCAGGGGCUCUGUCACUGAGCUACAUCCUCAGCCUUUUAAUUCUUUAUCUUGAGACAGUGCCUCACUAAGUUGCCGAGCCUGGCCUCAAACCCACAAUCCUCCUGCCUCAGCCUCCCAAGUCACUGGAUCAUAGGUGGGUGCCACUGUGCUCAGCCUGUGGUUGCAUUUGGAUGCAGUCCAAGCUGCUGCAGGUUUGGGGAAUGUUCUGUGGGCAUCUAUAUAACAGUACCUGGAUGGGGGUGCUUUCUGAAGGGUGCACCAGACCCUCUCGCUGUUUGCUCUGUGGAUGUGCUGCCUGGCCUACAGUGGGUUAGUCACGGAACAUUCAGGAGAGAUCUAGGACACUGGGCAGUGCCCUCCAUCCAGCAGGUGACCUGGCAGGAAGAGCCCUUGCAGCAAGGAAGGGGGUGGCACUCUGUAGGUGAAGGCACAGAGCUCUCUGAUGACUAGUGACCAACUCAAUGUGAAGCAGAAAAAUCCCAUGAACUUCAUGUUCAAGUACAAAGUUGGCUAGGAUGACUGGGUGGCAUUGCAGUCUCCUGAAGGUCCUUCUUGGAUUCAUACACAAAGAGAGAGCGAGGGAUUAAGGGGCAGGAAGGAAACACAACUUUUUCAAACACUGAGAUCUGGAGUCCAGCUCCUGCCAUGUAGUCAGUGAAUGAAUGGAUAAUAGUUGUUUCUACAGGACCAUGUGACCUGGGGCUGCUCGGCUUCCUGUGGGCCCUCAGCAUCCCCAUCUAUAAAGCAAGGGCACAGUCCAAGGGUGCUGUCCGCUUUCUGUUGCUGUGACAAAGCAUCUGAAGGAAUCCCCUUAAAAGGAAACAGGGUUUCUUUUGGCUCAUGGUUGCAUAGGUCUCAGUCCAUGGGACCUUAGCCCUGUUGCUUUGGGCCUGUGGCAGCACAGUAGGACAUCCUGGCAGCUGGAGCAUGUGACAGAGGAGGCUGCUCACCUCUGGGAAGUGGGGUGGGGGUGGGGGUAGGACUGGGCUGGGUCCCAAUAUCCCCUCAAGGGCACACCCCUAAUGACCUCAUUCCCUCCAUUAGGCCCCACCUCCUAAAGUUUCCAUUAUGUCCCAAGGGCCACAGGCUGGUGACCAAGCCUUUAGCACAUGGGCAAUGGGGACAUUUGACAUCCAAACCACAAUGCCAAGUGAUCAUUAACUGGGGGCUAACCCCUGGUCACUGGGCCAAUCCCUUCCCACACCCCAGACCUGGGGAGAUUGACUGCCAUCUGCAGGACACCCACUGCAGGCAGCUGCCCCAACCAACAUGGAAGUCCUUAGCAGAGGCUUUUUUUUUGCUGGGGGGGGGGCGGGGAGGUACCAGUGUUUGAUCUCAUGGGUGCUUGACCACUGAGCCACA
rnacentral:lncRNA from 1 species